GAUGAACGCUGGCAGAAUGCUUAACACAUGCAAGUCGUUGGCGAAGCUGUGGUUGCACAGCCUAGCCAGGGCGGACGGGUGAGGAAAGCGUAAGGAACUUGCCCUGCAGUCAGGGAUAACAGACGGAAACGACUGAUAAGACCUGGUAAGGUCAGGCGGACUCAUGUCCAGCCUGAUGGAAAGAGAGGCUGCAGGAGAGCCUUGCGUCCUAUCAGCUUGUUGGGGGGGUAACGGCCCACCAAGCCGAGGCUAGGUGGCAGGCCGGAGAGGUUGGACGGCCAAGAGGGGGAUGAGAGGCGGCACUUACUACUACGGGAGGCAGCGGGGAAGAAUGUUGGACCAUGGCGGCAACGCUGAUGCAGCACUUCGGUGUGCACGAUGAAGGUUUUCGGGUAGUAAAGUGCUUUCAGGAGGGAAGAAAAAAAUGACGGUACCUGCAGAAGAAGCGCCGGCUAACUACGUG
rnacentral:rRNA from 1 species